rnacentral:rRNA from 1 species
GAGCGGCGAACGGGUGAGUAACACAUCGGAACGUACCCAGUUGUGGGGGAUAGCCCGGCGAAAGCCGGAUUAAUACCGCAUAAGUCUGAGGGAGAAAGCGGGGGAUCGCAAGACCUCGCGCGAUUGGAGCGGCCGAUGUCGGAUUAGCUAGUUGGUGGGGUAAAGGCCUACCAAGGCGACGAUCCGUAGCUGGUCUGAGAGGACGACCAGCCACACUGGAACUGAGACACGGUCCAGACUCCUACGGGAGGCAGCAGUGGGGAAUUUUGGACAAUGGGGGCAACCCUGAUCCAGCCAUUCCGCGUGAGUGAAGAUGGCCUUCGGGUUGUAAAGCUCUUUCGGCAGGAACGAAACGGUGAGGGCUAAUACCCUUUACUAAUGACGGUACCUGAAGAAGAAGCACCGGCUAACUACGUGCCAGCAGCCGCGGUAAUACGUAGGGUGCGAGCGUUAAUCGGAAUUACUGGGCGUAAAGCGUGCGCAGGCGGUUUUGUAAGACAGCUGUGAAAUCCCCGGGCUCAACCUGGGAACUGCGGUUGUGACUGCAAGACUGGAGUGUGGCAGAGGGGGGUGGAAUUCCACGUGUAGCAGUGAAAUGCGUAGAGAUGUGGAGGAACACCGAUGGCGAAGGCAGCCCCCUGGGUCAACAC